rnacentral:rRNA from 1 species
CAGUAGCCGCGGUAAUACGGAGGGUGCAAGCGUUAAUCAGAAUUACUGGGCGUAAAGCGCACGCAAGCGGUCUGACAAGUCAGAUGUGAAAUCCCCGGGCUUAACCUGGGAACUGCAUUUGUGACUGGCGAGCUAGAGUAUGGCAGAGGGGGGUAGAAUUCCACGGGUAGCAGUGAAAUGCGUAGAGAUGUGGAGGAAUACCGAUGGCGAAGGCAGCCCCCUGGGCCAAUACUGACGCUCAUGCACGAAAGCGUGGGGAGCAAACAGGAUUAGAUACCCGCGUAGUCCCUGUCUCUUAUAC